AAAUCAGAGCCAGACGUGAGCCAGAUCCCAGCCAGACUCAUUCAAGCCUAAGCCCCUAUCAGGCUGGCACCACACGCCCUUCUCGCUGUCUGACCCAUAUUUCACCGCUGCUUCCUGGAAGGCAGGACACAAACGGACAUGAAUAGGUAUGACUCCAUACGAAUGGUCAAAUCCACUGAAUCAUGUCACCUGACCGUGGCGUAUUUUUACAUGCCGCAGAGUGGUGGCGGGCCUUUUUUCGGAAUCGGAAUAGCUCUGGAACAACACGGCCGACUCAUCGCCCUGGGGGAAUCUGAGCUGACGCCGGCAUGACUGAAAUUCCCCUGGCACCGCUGCUGACGCUUCCGCCGCCGCCGAGCUCCGCGCCGCGCCGAGAUACGAGAGGAUUAGCCGCCGUGCUUGCCACAGCAUUAUUUAUAGUCCUGCCGGAGUAAUACAGCACAGCGGGGGACACAGUGCAUCGGUGGGGUGGCCGAUGCACCAGAAUGCACCCUCUCCAUCAUUCAGGUUUGGUGCAGUCUCUCUCAGUGUGUGUGUAUGUGUGUGUGUGUGUGUGUGUGUGUGUGUGUGCAUGCCCUUUACAUUACUGAGACAACAGGAUGAGUUGCACUCCACGGGAUGUCAGUGACAACCGCAAAAGCAUCCCUCCUCAUGGCUUCCCAUGAGUGGGACAGUGGGGCAGACUCCAGCGUUCCCUCCCUACCCAGGCAACUGCACCACUGUAACUUUCUCUCUUCUCUCUCUCCCUUUUCUUCCUGGAGGUUUUGUGUGGGCUCGGCUCUGUUCUCUUCAGCCUUUCACACCUCACAGAUUUCAUUUUUCACCGAUGGCACCGAGGUUGCCUAGGAACCAUGCGGAUCGGGCGUGUUUCAGGAGUUUCAGGGGGUAAUUAGGAGAUGAUGAGGAGACGCACUUUAAGCAAGGCAGCCAAUGUGUGUGUACUUUAAGGUGGGGAUCACACUGGUCAGCGGCAAGCGUAACGCCACGCUCAGACCACAAUAAGCUCGCUGGCGCACCUGGAAGCCGAUGCCACAGCUGGUGCUGCAGGGUGCCCAGGCCGUCCACGGCGUCCAGCCGCCGUUUCUACGAAAACAGCAAUCAGCGUCGUCAAGGGCCCGGCUCACAGAGGGUCACCCACACUCAUACUCACCACUGCUGGUAUUAGCCCCUUCUCCCUGGCAGCCUGACUGUGGACAGCUCCUGAGACUCAGCGCACAUGGGACAUUAAGCACAAUAUCAACACAAACAUCCUCCUGGGUGGGGCUCUAUAGGCAGUGCAGAGAGCGCUUUGCUCUGCACAAUAAGGUAAUAUAUCUCUCUCCCUGCUCAUGCAAAUAAGCUAAUGACGUGUGGAGGGGCAGAAUGGGGAGAGAGGGAGUGAUGGAAAGGCAAUAAGGAAGAGGGGGAGGAAAAAAAGAAGAGAGAGAGAGAGAGAGAGAGAGAGAGAGAGAGAGAGAGAGAGAGAGAGAGAGAGAGAGAGACAGAACCAGAGCCAGAAUGAGAAGAAGGAGGGGAAAUAGUGUGAGAGACAGAUGAAUGGAGAAAAACAAAGAUUAACAGAGGUAGAGAAAGAUUAACAGAGUUAGAGAAGCAGAAAGAUAGGGGGAGCCAUGGAAGAGAGGGUAGGAGAGAGACUGAUGGCUAGCCAAAGACAGCGAGAGAAGGAUUCAUGCUAUAGACGGUGCAGCGGCUCCCUGGAGAGCGAUCAGAGGUGAUCUUCACUGAGUCUGAGCCCCAGCGGCCCUGGAGCCAUGUCUCCGAGACGUCUCGCAGGGACUCCUCCAGGACAGUUCUAAAGAGCCCUGAUGGCUGCAGUCAGCCUGUUAAGACUGGCACUGAUGUAAUCAUGGUUGCAGCGCAUGAGUGGGAUCUUGAUGACCUGGUCCCUGACCCCGACGAAGAGCUCGCUGCGGCUGUGCAGGAUCAGGAGGCUGCGGA